GUGCGCUUUGCUUUCCCGGGGUCUGGGGCUAAUUCUUCCUCUCUUACCCAUAAACUCGGCUCCUCGAACUAAAUACACAAAAGGGAACGAGAAAUUUGAACCACUGGAACAAUGAUAUUCCGUAUAGGAGGGUUAGAGAGGGGAGUAAGGGGAAAAAAAAAAACAAUAAACACCACAGCUCUUUCCAGCUAGAAUAUUAGGCACCACGAGAAAAAUAUUUGCCAAGCAGUUUUCGGCAUCUACUCUAAAGCAAUCUGCUUUCUUCAAAACCCUGGAGUGCCCACAGCAGUAUUCUGAUCACCAGCCAUCACUUCUGUUCUCAGGAUUCCAGCGGCAACUCAAGAGGUGAUCAAACAGUGAGCUUGGUGAAUAAGCUGAGGAUCAGAAGACAUACAACCAAUAUGGCGGCACUAACAUCACAGCCUGGUCUUCCUGGCUCCAGAACCUACCCUCUUUUCACCAUGGCUACCUGUCUUUCCUAGAUUAUCUCAAACCUAUGCCCCACUCACCAACAAAUACAUACAUUUUAUUUGUUGCUGUGUGUGGAGCAAAACCUUGCAAUUUUUUUCAAAUGACUUGACUUGGACAUCUUAGCCAAUUUUGGUAGUAUCUCCCUUGUUUUCUAUUGUAUUCUUCCAAUUUAAUGCAUCUUAGAGAAAAUAAGACACACUAACAUUCUAGCAUCUGGUGGUGAGAUGCAAUGUGUGAUAUAUGAACACAAAUAAAAGAAAUAGUAAAGUAUUUGUUCAUAAUUUGAAAAAAAUGAUAUUAAUACAGGUUUACAAUAAAUAACUAUCUUCA